rnacentral:misc_RNA from 1 species
UCGAGUUUUGACUGGGUUGUAGCUGGCCUCUUGAGGCAUGUGCACACCUUGAUCGCACAUCCACAUCUCACACCUGUGCACAACCUGUAGCUUGGGAUGAUUACAAUGCUGGGAACAGUGUUGAAAGCCCUUGCUAUGAAAUUUUACACACACAUAUUAAAAGUUAUAGAAUGUUAUAUAGCGUGUAACAGCGCAAAUAAAUAUA